AGUCGAGCGGGGAAGGUAGCUUGCUACCUGACCUAGCGGCGGACGGGUGAGUAAUGCUUAGGAAUCUGCCUAUUAGUGGGGGACAACAUCUCGAAAGGGAUGCUAAUACCGCAUACGUCCUACGGGAGAAAGCAGGGGACCUUCGGGCCUUGCGCUAAUAGAUGAGCCUAAGUCGGAUUAGCUAGUUGGUGGGGUAAAGGCCUACCAAGGCGACGAUCUGUAGCGGGUCUGAGAGGAUGAUCCGCCACACUGGGACUGAGACACGGCCCAGACUCCUACGGGAGGCAGCAGUGGGGAAUAUUGGACAAUGGGGGGAACCCUGAUCCAGCCAUGCCGCGUGUGUGAAGAAGGCCUUUUGGUUGUAAAGCACUUUAAGCGAGGAGGAGGCUACCGAGAUUAAUACUCUUGGAUAGUGGACGUUACUCGCAGAAUAAGCACCGGCUAACUCUGUGCCAGCAGCCGCGGUAAUACAGAGGGUGCAAGCGUUAAUCGGAUUUACUGGGCGUAAAGCGCGCGUAGGUGGCCAAUUAAGUCAAAUGUGAAAUCCCCGAGCUUAACUUGGGAAUUGCAUUCGAUACUGGUUGGCUAGAGUAUGGGAGAGGAUGGUAGAAUUCCAGGUGUAGCGGUGAAAUGCGUAGAGAUCUGGAGGAAUACCGAUGGCGAAGGCAGCCAUCUGGCCUAAUACUGACACUGAGGUGCGAAAGCAUGGGGAGCAAACAGGAUUAGAUACCCUGGUAGUCCAUGCCGUAAACGAUGUCUACUAGCCGUUGGGGCCUUUGAGGCUUUAGUGGCGCAGCUAACGCGAUAAGUAGACCGCCUGGGGAGUACGGUCGCAAGACUAAAACUCAAUGAAUUGACGGGGGCCCGCAC
rnacentral:rRNA from 1 species